rnacentral:rRNA from 1 species
GAUGAACGCUAGCGGGAGGCUUAAUACAUGCAAGUCGAGGGGUAACAGGGGCUUCGGCCCGCUGACGACCGGCGCACGGGUGAGUAACGCGUACGCAACUUACCUCCAAGCGAGGGAUAGCCCUGGGAAACUGGGAUUAAUACCUCAUGUGAUUAUGAUGCCGCAUGGUGUUAUAAUUAAAGUUCAGGCGCUUGGAGAUGGGCGUGCGUCCUAUUAGCUAGUUGGUGAGGUAACGGCUCACCAAGGCGACGAUAGGUAGGGGGCGUGAGAGCGUGGCCCCCCACACGGGUACGUGAGACACGGACCCGGACUCCUACGGAGGCAGCAGUAAGGAAUAUUGGACGAAUAGGGCGGCAAGACCU